AAAUACCUUUAGAGGAACCAAAGAAUUUAGUAUUAUGUCACAGACUACUAACUCCCUAGUCAUAGCAUUUCAACAACACAGGCCCGCACAGACUCAAUAAUCUCAGUUCCAUCUCCAUCUCUUUAAACUUCUUUCAUAGGAAAGAAUGAUAGCACAGCGGUAGGGCGUUUGCCUUGCACAAGGCCAACCCAGGAUGGACCCAGGUUUGAUUCCCAGCAUCCCAUGUGGUCUCCCGAGCCUGUCAGGAGUAACCUCUGAGCACUACCGAAUGUGACCCAAAACAACAACAAAAAACCUUUCAGUUUUGUCCAAUUCUUUUCCUAUCGUAUCGCCUUCAUGCAGACAACUACCAUCUCAUUAUACUGCAUUAAACAAACUUGGCCAUAUUCUUCAUUUUUUUUUGUUUGCUUAUUUAGUUUAUGGACCACACCUGGUAGUUCACAGGGCUUACUCCUGACUCUGUGUGCAGGGAUUAGUCCUGGCAGGACCCAGAAGACCAUAUGUGAUGCCAGGGAUUGAACCUGGUCAGCUUCAUGAAAAGUAAUUGCCCUAUUCCCUGUACUGUCACCCUCAGCUCAUAUUCUCCACAUUAAAUGGAUUCAGUAAAGACUUAUUUGUGAUGGUGCAGUAGGGCAUUUGCCUUGCAUGUGGCUAAUCCAGAAUGGACCUCAAUUUGAUCCCCGCCAUCCCAGAUGGUCUCCCAAGCCAGGAGCGAUUUUUGAGCGCAUAGCCAGGAGUAACCCCUGAGCAUCACUGGGUGUGGCCCAAAAACCAAAUAAAAAGACUUAUUUGUGGUCAAGUAAGUUGUUUCCUCUCAGUCCUGACAUCUUCAUUCUUACACCUUUAGGAACUCUCUGAUUACUGGUAUACAGCUGGAAGUAAUCCUGGUGUCAGUUCCACUAUAGUCAGGUCACAGAUUCACAGAGAGGGAAGGAACAUCUACAGAAGCUAAUGACUUCUGCUUCCUUUUUCAGGCCCCAAAUCACCUUUGGUUUAUCAAUGAUUUCUUCUCACUGUCCUCCCUUUUUGUGCCUGCCUUCAUUAGGAACAUAAUCCAGUAUCUGUGAUCUUGAGUGGAGUAAGAGGUCUUUAGGGGUUGAGACUAUCAUAAAAUAUUUAACUCCAACAUAAGUUUGGAGUCAGAAGCAUCAGAUACUGAGGAUAUCAGGAAAUGAAGAAGUCGUAUGAGCAUCUUCUGAAGAACCAAAGCAGACGUUUAAUAAGAAUUUCUACAGAAUGGAACUCCUUUCAUGCUAAAUAGAGGAGCAUUCUCCUUCCUGCAGUUUUCUAAAGAUCUCUUGAUCAUCAUUUUGAAAAGACUUUAUUAAAACCAGCUAAAGACAAUAGACUGGAUAACUUCUAAUAAUUUCGCCAAUAGAAAAAAGGAAACACUCCUUAUUCUUUGAUAAGUUAAAGUGGUUUUUUCCAAUGUGUUCCUUCUUAGAAAAUCAAUAUUUUUCUGCACUCUCAAAAAGAUGAGAGCAUUUGAGUAUAAAAGAAAUGGGCUAACGAGACAUAAUUUUUCACAUAGAUAUUUUGGUCUUUAAAAACUAGUGUGUAAAAUUGACACUAAAGAAAUUUAUUUUACGAUACUUGAAAAUAUGUACCUCUUUGCUCUACAAGUAAAGUAACUAGGGGAGAUAUUUAAAUUAAGCCUAUUUAAAUAUUAUUGCUCAGAUCUUUAUUUGUAGAGGAUAAUUAUAGUCAGGUAACCAGGUUCUUGUAAAAGCAACUUGCACCUGGACAUUCUGCAAGCCCAGGUGGCACAUUUUUCUUGCAUCUCCUUUUGCAAAAGUGUACUUAAAAGUUUUAAAAUGUGAAAAGCACAUUAUUUUUUCAAAGCAAGAAAAUAAUUUACUGACCUUUUAAAAAAUGUAUUUAUAAAAGUUUUUCCAGAUAAA